CUGGAAAGGACUGCUCGAGUCAGCUCCUCCAUGAAGGCCUGGGGCAGUCAAACACCAGCAAAGGAGCUGCCUAGCAUUUCAGCGGCAAAACCAGAGAGGCGUCCCUCCCAGUUCCAGGUACCCAGCCUUCCAACUUGAGUCUAGCCCAAAGCCUGCACUCUAAUACAUAUCAUACUUGAUAUUAAAGUGAGAAGAGGGGUAAUUUAUAGGAGCUGCCUGAGAACUGUUUUCUUCUCAGGGCCAGCCGAUGUGGAACCGACACCUCUGUUCAGGGCUCCUGGAACCCUCCCGCAGCAACGCUGUCGCGUGGCGGGACUGCGGCCGUGUGAGGCUUGCCUGUGCAGAGGGGAUGCGAGGACAGCUGUGCAGAGUGGAUGCGAGGACCGCAUCCCUGAAGGCGGAACUCCUGAGGCUUGCCUUUACAACCCCGCAGCACUGGCCCUCAGCGGCCUGCAACUUUCUCUGGAGGGAUGUCCUUGAUUUCUAGAGCCUUCACAGCCUCCCCUCAGGCGGCACUGACCAGGAGCUGAAGAGAGAGGGCUUGGAAGCUUUCUGGAAAGGUCUUGCUUCUAAAAACCGGAAACCAGGAGGGAGGAAAUCUGCCCUCUUGUUCUCUGCUGACUAAGCCGUGUUGUCUUGAACAAGUGACUUUAUCGUUUCAUCUUUAAAAUAAACCUUUUGAGCCAGA